rnacentral:rRNA from 1 species
UACGUAGGUGGCGAGCGUUGUCCGGAUUUACUGGGCGUAAAGGGAGCGUAGGCGGACUUUUAAGUGAGAUGUGAAAUACCCGGGCUCAACUUGGGUGCUGCAUUUCAAACUGGAAGUCUAGAGUGCAGGAGAGGAGAAUGGAAUUCCUAGUGUAGCGGUGAAAUGCGUAGAGAUUAGGAAGAACACCGGUGGCGAAGGCGGUCUCUCGU